UACGUAGGGUGCAAGCGUUGUCCGGAAUUAUUGGGCGUAAAGAGCUCGUAGGCGGCUUGUCACGUCGGGUGUGAAAGCCCGGGGCUUAACCCCGGGUCUGCAUUCGAUACGGGCAGGCUAGAGUGUGGUAGGGGAGAUCGGAAUUCCUGGUGUAGCGGUGAAAUGCGCAGAUAUCAGGAGGAACACCGGUGGCGAAGGCGGGUCUCUGGGCCGAUACUGACGCUGAGGAGCGAAAGCGUGGGGAGCGAACAGG
rnacentral:rRNA from 1 species